CUACAGGGGUAUCUAAUCCUGUUCGCUCCCCACACUUUCGCUCCUCAGCGUCAGGAUAUUCCCAGAGAACCGCCUUCGCCACCGGUGUUCCUCCUGAUAUCUGCGCAUUUCACCGCUACACCAGGAAUUCCGUUCUCCCCUGAAUACCUCUAGUCUGCCCGUAUCGAAAGCAAGCACCGAGUUAAGCCCGGUGUUUUCACUCCCGACGCGACAAACCGCCUACGAGCCCUUUACGCCCAAUAAUUCCGGACAACGCUCGGACCCUACGUAUUACCGCGGCUGCUGGCAC
rnacentral:rRNA from 1 species